rnacentral:lncRNA from 1 species
AUUUAAUUUUCCAUUUGAAACAAUCAUUUUUCUCCGAUUAUAGCGCUAUCUAUCCAUAAUUCGAAAAAAUAUGUCGAAUAAAAGUUGCUUAUUUUUACGUAAAGAAUCCGAAUCUGCAAUAAAAAUUGGGGGCUCCUAUUUAAGAUUUUAAAUUAAAUCCCCCACCCCACCUCCGUGGGGGCUUGUGACACCCCACGGAGAGAGGUUGUGACGUUCCGCCCCUUAUAGAAUCCAUUAUUGAUGGGAAGAUAUUAUUUCAUUAUUUUUAGAAUUAUUUUCUUUCAAUGGUUAUUAAAAUAUAACAUAACACCAUCACAGAAUUUUAAAUGCUUGUGACGUCACAUUUUAAGUGUGGCAACAUUGGUUUGCUUGCGUUUGACAGCGUAUCGAUGGGAGAGGGGAAUUGAAUUGCCCACGGAGAUCGUCAGCCAGCUAACGAGAGGGCAUUGGCUUUCUAGAAGUGUGUCGGAGUGGCAGGUCGGUAGCUUGAUAUUUUACCCACAAUUUCAAGAUCCAAAUUAUAAUUAAAGAUUGAAUCCAUCCAGCAUUAGGGAAUAUAAAGUUAUUAGUGAAUACGAAGUUGAAGAAUUUGAAUGCAGAUUUAAAAUGAGUUCCGGCCUGCCACCACUAUGAAAUCAUAAAAAAAAAAAGAAAACCUAAGACCACCAAGGUAGACCACUUCUAGAGAGACGGUCACUAGAAGACCAGCCUGGAAGAUCUCCAUAUCUAUCUUUUUCGCCUGUACCUUCAACUGGUUUUUUUUUCACCUGUUUUCUUGUACCUCCAGCAGGACAGUUGCAAGAGGGAGUUAGCACCCCCUUGUGCUCAUUGCAUCCCGGUCAAUUUGGGGAAUACACAGCAAGGAACGCACCGCAAGGAACAUUGGAAGAUUGUGAAAAGGGGUUUGUGUUGAUGAACAUUCGGUUUGCUCUAAGUAAAAAUUUAGACUGGUUUUUUGUGAUUUUCAGGAUACUUAGUUUAUUCAUAUAGGUACUUUAUAAAUUUAUUGCACAUAACCUUUCCCUUUUCAAGAUUUUUAUAGUAUUACAGAACAGUAUAAUAAUUGAUAGCGUUCCCCAAAGCUGCGUAACCUCCAUGGUGAGAAUCUCUGAGCUCAGAUACUUUCCCAUACAAUAGUGUUGGUACUCUUAUAUUUUUUUAUUAUUCUUUGGCUUGUUUCCCUUUUAUAUAACUAUUUAAACUCCUUUAAUUAUUUUAGUAUAUUUUAAAUUAAAUUUUUCAAAUUAACUUCAAAUAUCAUUAAAAAUUUCUAUUAUUCAAAUUAUUUAACUUUAACUAUUAAUUUUUAUAUUAAAUUCGAAUAAAUCCCUAGUACCCAUCCCCUCAGGAAGGUACUAGUUUUACUUGCCAUUAUUAUUAAGAACCACGAGUCGGUAAAAGGAUCUUUGGUAUCCAGAACUCCGUUGGUUCACUUAGGGACUUGGUACCCGUCAACUCAUUGAGUUGUACAUACAUAUAUUAAAUAUCUUGUUCAUAUUAUCAGGUAGUAUUGAAUUAAGUGUACGUAUGAUAUUCGUACCAUUGUUAUUGGGUGAGGGUAGUUACUGCUAACCAAGUGUAAGUUGUACUUUCUGUAUUAGAGGUACCCUUAUUCAGAUUUUCUAACCUUAUUAAGAUUAUUCUUAGAUUAUAUUUGUAAGGUAAUUCUGUAAAUGACUUUCACUAGUAUUUUUUUUUUGUCAUGUUAGAGUUACAUACUAGUUACUUGUCUUAACUCGGAGAUUGUGAAAAUCUGGUAGUUACAUUCAAUAAAUAUACAUUUAUUGUGA